rnacentral:misc_RNA from 1 species
GAUGAAGAACGUAGCGAAAUGCGAUACGUAAUGUGAAUUGCAGAAUUCAGUGAAUCAUCGAAUCUUUGAACGCACAUUGCACUCUCUGGUAUUCCGGAGAGUAUGCUUGUUUGAGUAUCUGUAAACAUCUCAAAUCUCUCUUCAAUUGCUUCAAUUGGGUCGAGAGAAUUGGAUUUGAGCGAUCCCGACUCCUUCGUCAGAAAGAGGAGGGUCGCUUGAAAUGCAGGUGCAGCUGGACAUUCUUCUGAGCAAAAAGCAUAUCUAUUUAGUCCCGUCAAACGGAUUAUUACUUUUGCUUCAGCUAAUAUAAAGGUUGAAUGAACUACCAACGCUGAUUGCAGGAAAACAUGUUCGUUUAUUCGGACUUGUAAACUCGAUCUCAAAUCAAGUAAGACUACCCGCUGAACUUAAGCAUAUAAUAAGCGGAGGA